rnacentral:rRNA from 1 species
GAUGAACGCUGGCGGCGUGCUUAACACAUGCAAGUCGAACGGAAAGGCUCCUGUUUGCAGGGGUACUCGAGUGGCGAACGGGUGAGUAACACGUGGGUGAUCUGCCCUGCACUUCGGGAUAAGCCUGGGAAACUGGGUCUAAUACCGGAUAGGACGAUGGUUUGGAUGCCAUUGUGGAAAGUUUUUCGGUGUGGGAUGAGCUCGCGGCCUAUCAGCUUGUUGGUGGGGUAAUGGCCUACCAAGGCGUCGACGGGUAGCCGGCCUGAGAGGGUGUACGGCCACAUUGGGACUGAGAUACGGCCCAGACUCCUACGGGAGGCAGCAGUGGGGAAUAUUGCACAAUGGGCGCAAGCCUGAUGCAGCGACGCCGCGUGGGGGAUGACGGCCUUCGGGUUGUAAACUCCUUUCGCUAGGGACGAAGCGCAAGUGACGGUACCUGGAGAAGAAGCACCGGCUAACUACGUG